GUGAUGGAGUGGAUCGAGCCGGGCGACAGUUCUCAUCGCAUCGACAUCGCUCCGCUGAUGGGAAACACCUCGUUAUCAAGAGCCAAGGUCAUCCUGUUUGAGGUC
rnacentral:rRNA from 1 species